CCAAACAAAAUAUUUAAACUUUUUUUUUUUCCACUUUCGCUCCAACUUCUCGCGCUACUGGUAAAAACUCCUUCUUCCUCCUACAGUUUCUUCUUCACUCCAUUUCGUAUUGUUUUGGUUUUUCGAAUCUGGGUUCAGUUUUUUUAUUUUUUUUUUUUUUACUUGAGUUUUUUUAAGAUAUUAGAAUUACUUUACCCUCAAAUUAAUAUAUUCAUGAAAGAGAAAUAUAUCCCAUCCCACGCUAAUUUCCCUUUCACCUCAUUUACUCUGAAAGAAGAGUCAGUCUUUGCACCGCCGAACCCACUGACGCACGCCCGUAGUCACCGGCACACCAGCGCACCGUCGCACCAACCGAAGCUCCACCGCACUGCUGCACCAUUGCGCCACCCACCACUGUACUAACUAGAAAUUUGCUCUGUUCCUCACAUGGACAAUCUGGUAAACAUAUACAAAUAUAUGGAAGUCGCAUCAGGGGUUACUUUUUGUCUCUCAAAGUGGACUCUUGAGUAAAUUAGCAGGUAGCGAAGUAUCUUUGUCCAUAUAUAUAUAUAUAUAGGAUUUAAAUUAGCAGUUGUGAAAACAUUACCCACUCGGGCCUUAUUUAAUGUUGGUGAAGAUUGUCCUGUAUUUGGUGGUCUGUACUUGUUUUGUCAGACUUAUGCUGGCGGUUCAGUUGGUGGUGCCGUCAAAUUGAACCGUGGGCUUUGUGACAUUGCGAUUAAUUGGGCAGGUGGCUUGCACCUUGCAAAAAAGUUCGAGGCCUCUAGGUUAUGUUAUGUGAAUGAUACUGUUUUUGCAAUUUUGGAACUUCUCAAAAUUCAUGAGGUCCCAACUAAUUAAAUGUCGUCUUGCUUUAAUUGAUGAGUUAAGUGGGAACUCAGUGAUGGUGGCCGAUGGAACGAUAGAACCUUGUCCUAGUUGAGUGACUCGUAACAAGAAAAUGAACCGUGACUUCUACAGAAUUAGUGUUGACCAUGUUUAUAGUGAUUAUUCUUACCUAAAUCUCCCAGAAGAGACUGAUGAUGUAUCACUAAGUUGGGUCAGGCGGAAGGUUAUUUUUUGGAUGGCUUGCAGAUUUAGUCUUCUUCUUUAUUGAUGAGGUAAUACAUUGAACGCACGUAAUGAUCUAAGAUAUUUGUAACUUAAUUACAUUAAUAUUUAUCUUUCUUUAAGGUUAUGACUUUGACAAAAAAGACGAAUAAUGAAUUGGUAUAAACCGAAUGGUAAUGAGAUAUAUGUAUGAGAUAAUAUCUUUCCAUAGCGAUUGCAAGGGUAAUUUGAAAGAGGAGUAUUUGGCAAGACUUGCAGCCUACAACGAUGUAGAAUUAGAUGAGAUUUGAGACAAUGGGCUAAGUAUUUAGGCUUACUUUUUUGUUAGAAGGCUAGUUAUCUACUUUUCUACAUAAUACAUUUCUAUAUAUCUACUUUUAUUUAGCCUAUUGGUUAUUGUUAUUACAUUUCUAAAUUAUAAAUCAAUGAUUUUUUUAUUCAAGUUUUAAUUGUUUUUCGGAAAUUAAAGUAUAGUUACUUUUGUUGUAUUUUAUGGUUGUGGAUGAAUAAUUCAAGUUCUGUGGAAUUAUUUGGAGUGUUUGUAUUGUAUGUUGUAGGUGAAUUUAAGUUAUAUGGAAGUAUAUUCAGAGUG